UCACGUUAUGUUGGAAUUUGGAAAGGUAAGUAUAAAAAUUUGUGAUAUGGAUGUGUUCAUGUAUGAAAAGAGAUGACUAUAAGUUAAAAAAAAAGUUUAUGUUGUGACAAGCUCAUCCAAGUAUGUUGGUGAUUAUAUAAUGCUAUGUGCUCAACAUAUUUGAUUAAGUGAAUAUGAUAAGCAAAUUUACUUAAAUAGAUGGAACGUGUGUAUGUACAUCUGCUUGAAUAAGUGAAAUUAGUAUGUUCAUAUGAUAGAAUCUUAUGUUUAAUUGUUAAAUUAAAGAUAAUAAGAUAUUUUGUUUUAUGUCUAAACCAUGAAUAUUAUAAUAGUAUGAAAAAUUGAAUUGGAAGUCAAAUUGAGUAGAACGCAGGAAUGAGUACUUUCGUUCAGUGAUAUGUGAUGAAUUGACGGAAAAGACCAUGGUUUGACCAUGGCAACAUGUGAACAUGUGAUUAUGUGAUUCCGUGUAAGACCAUAGCUGGGCUAUGGCAUCGGUAAGUGAUAUGUGUGAUAUGUGAUUCCGUGUAAGACCAUAGCUGGGCUAUGGCAUCGGUAAGUGAUAUGUGAUUUCGUGUAAGACCAUAGUUGGGCUAUGGCAUCGGUAUGUGAUUUGUGAUUACGUGUAAGACCAUAGUUGGACUAUGGCAUUGAGAAAACGAAGUACUCAAUUCCGUAAGACGUUCUCUAAUUUGGCAAAUGUCGGUAAGUAAAAUAGAAGCCAAGUAUUGGAAUUUAAUUAGAUAUUAACGUUGAGCUUGAGUAAGUAAAUUCGUUGUGUGAAAUUGUGAGUGACAGAAAACAUUUGUAAUAAAUAGAUGUGUUAAUUUGCUUGGAAUGAAUUACGUGGUUAUGAUGGUAUUACAUUGAUGAUGAAUACAAAAUCAUAUAUAUAUAUGUAUCUAUGAGAGCAAGUUGAAAGAUUUAUAACUUCACCAUCACCCCCUUAUCAGUAUUGUUCUAUGACGAAAAUUAUCUUGAUGAGACAGAUAUGUUUUUCAACUGAGUUAAUUCUAAUAGUAUAGAAAUAAAUACUAAAAUGUUUGAGUGAAAAUGUAUUGAUUAUGAGUUGAAACUCAUAAAGGUAUGGAUCAAAGAAUAAAACAUUUUUUUUAUUGAUGAAUGUUAUAAUUAUACAAGCAUAUGAGUUAUGAUAUUUGGAUUAUGAUGCUAUAUAGAAAUUUUGAUUGUGAAUUAGUGAUUUGAGUUAGAAUUUUGUGUUGAGAACAAAAGUGAUUAAAAGCAAAUGUUUAUUAAAUGCUUUGAGAAUGUGAACUUAGUAAUGAAUUGGCUAUUUGUGAUGGUAUGUGUUAUGCGCAUUUAUGUGUAAG
rnacentral:lncRNA from 1 species